CCCCUCUCAGAAUCGCAACUGAAGAGUUUUCAGUACUCUACUGGCCUUGGCUAUGGGAGGGAGAGUCAAGCAGAGGCAUACCCAUUCCAUUCCUAGCUCUGGCAGUGGCUAGCAAAUGGAAGGCAAUCUGCUAUAAGU